rnacentral:rRNA from 1 species
GCCUACGGGGGGCAGCAGUAGGGAAUCUUCCACAAUGGGCGAAAGCCUGAUGGAGCAACGCCGCGUGGGUGAAGAAGGUCUUCGGAUCGUAAAACCCUGUUGUUAGAGAAGAAAGUGCGUGAGAGUAACUGUUCACGUUUCGACGGUAUCUAAACAGAAAGCCACGGCUAACUACGUGCCAGCAGCCGCGGUAAUACGUAGGUGGCAAGCGUUAUCCGGAUUUAUUGGGCGUAAAGGGAACGCAGGCGGUCUUUUAAGUCUGAUGUGAAAGCCUUCGGCUUAACCGGAGUAGUGCAUUGGAAACU